CGACGGUACGCUGGGGGGGGGGCACUGGGGUGGGAGGGGGGCGACGGUACACACUAUACAAGGUGUUGGCCAUGGCUCUGGUCUGUAUAUUAUUAUAUAUUAUUGUAUAUUAUUAUAUAUUAGUGUAUAUUGUUCUAUAUUUCAUCCCGUCCUGAUGGAAGGUGUUGGCCAUGGCUCUGGUCUGUAUAUUAUUAUAUAUUAUUGUAUAUUAUUAUAUAUUAGUGUAUAUUGUUCUAUAUUUCAUCCCGUCCUGAUGGAAGGUGUUGGCCAUGGCUCUGGUCUGUAUAUUAUUAUAUAUUAUUGUAUAUUAUUAUAUAUUAGUGUAUAUUGUUCUAUAUUUCAUCCCGUCCUGAUGGAAGGUGUUGGCCAUGGCUCUGGUCUGUAUAUUAUUAUAUAUUAUUGUAUAUUAUUAUAUAUUAUUGUAUAUUGUUCUAUAUUUCAUCCCGUCCUGAUGGAAGGUGUUGGCCAUGGCUCUGGUCUGUAUAUUAUUAUAUAUUAUUGUAUAUUAUUAUAUAUUAGUGUAUAUUGUUCUAUAUUUCAUCCCGUCCUGAUGGAAGGUGUUGGCCAUGGCUCUGGUCUGUAUAUUAUUAGAUAUUAUUAUAUAUUAUUGUAUAUUGUUCUAUAUUUCAUCCCGUCCUGAUGGAAGGUGUUGGCCAUGGCUCUGGUCUGUAUAUUAUUAUAUAUUAUUGUAUAUUAUUAUAUAUUAUUGCAUAUUGUUCUAUAUUUCAUCCCGUCCUGAUGGAAGGUGUUGGCCAUGGCUCUGUUCUUUUCAUAACCAGAGCACAUGGACCCUACAGCUCCAGGUUAGCGUCCUGGGCCGCCCUCUCUCCCCUAGAGAGGCCGGCCUGACUGAGAAUGAGUGCAGCUCAUCACGAUAGAGGAUGUUGAGAUGCCGUUCAUCCUCCACACCUCACCUCCACCGCUACAUGUCCUUCAGAGACCUUGUCCAGCAGCUUAGCACUUCAUAGCUCAGUGUCCCGGAGCAGAGCUUCAGCCAGGCCCACUAUGGGCAGGUUGGAUGUUUUCGGUUCCCUUUCUUUCUCCUUUCUUUGUGUGCCAGCUGUUCUUCCAGCCGUACCUUGGCAUGGAGCACAGCUGCAGCCCCGGCCAGGAUCACUUGUAACUUUGGCAGGGGUAGGAGAGGGGGGGGGGGGGGGGGAGAGAGAGGGAGGGGGGAGAGAGAGAGGGUUAGGGUGAGAGAGAGAAAGUUAGGGUGAGAGAGAGAGAGAAGAGAGAGAGGGAGAGAGGGAGGGAGGGAGGGAGGGAGGGAGGGAGGGAGAGAUGCUGUUUUUCACUCCGUGGGCCCAGACCACCCAAGAGGCCUUGUUUACAUGCCUAGGUGUGUGUGUGUGUGUGUUGGCAUUUGUCUCUUUGCCAGCAUGUGAAAGAUUGGAGGGGGGGGGGGGGUAUUACUGGCACAGGAAGUUGGAUGUGUGUUUGAAUGAUUGAGCCAUAGUCUUCUUUAUGUGGUUCCGGUUGGCCAGGGGAUGCAUUAUCAAUGGUAGAUGCUUUGCAGAGCAGGAAACACACACACACACACACACACACACACACACACACACACACACACACACACACACACACACACACACACACACACACACAC